GAUGAACGCUGGCGGCGUGCCUAAUACAUGCAAGUCGAGCGAACGGACGAGAAGCUUGCUUCUCUGAUGUUAACGGCGGACGGGUGAGUAACACGUGGAUAACCUACCUAUAAGACUGGGAUAACUUCGGGAAACCGGAGCUAAUACCGGAUAAUAUUUUGAACCGCAUGGUUCAAAAGUGAAAGACGGUCUUGCUGUCACUUAUAGAUGGAUCCGCGCUGCAUUAGCUAGUUGGUAAGGUAACGGCUUACCAAGGCAACGAUGCAUAGCCGACCUGAGAGGGUGAUCGGCCACACUGGAACUGAGACACGGUCCAGACUCCUACGGGAGGCAGCAGUAGGGAAUCUUCCGCAAUGGGCGAAAGCCUGACGGAGCAACGCCGCGGGAGUGAUGAAGGUCUUCGGAUCGUAAAACUCUGUUAUUAGGGAAGAACAUAUGUGUAAGUAACUGUGCACAUCUUGACGGUACCUAAUCAGAAAGCCACGGCUAACUACGUG
rnacentral:rRNA from 1 species